UCGAGAAUUUUUCACAAUGGGGGAAACCCUGAUGGAGCGACGCCGCGUGGGGGAUGAAUGGCUUCGGCCCGUAAACCCCUGUCAUUCGGGAUCAAUGCUGACGACCUAAUACGUUGUCAGUUGAUAGUACCGAAAGAGGAAGGGACGGCUAACUCUGUGCCAGCAGCCGCGGUAAUACAGAGGUCCCAAGCGUUGUUCGGAUUUACUGGGCGUAAAGGGCGCGUAGGUGGUGAGCUAAGUCUGGUGUGAA
rnacentral:rRNA from 1 species